AUUGAACGCUGGCGGCAUGCUUUACACAUGCAAGUCGAACGGUAACAGGGUGCUUGCACCGCUGACGAGUGGCGAACGGGUGAGUAAUGCGUCGGAACGUGCCGAGUAGUGGGGGAUAACGCAGCGAAAGUUGUGCUAAUACCGCAUACGUACUGAGGUAGAAAGUGGGGGACCUUCGGGCCUCACGCUAUUCGAGCGGCCGACGUCUGAUUAGCUAGUAGGUGAGGUAAAGGCUCACCUAGGCGACGAUCAGUGGCGGGUCUGAGAGGAUGAUCCACCAAACUGGGACUGGGACACGGCCCAGACUCCGUCGGGAGGAAGCAGUGGGGAAUUUUGGACAAUGGGCGAAAGCCUGAUCCAGCCAUGCCGCGUGUCUGAAGAAGGCCUUCGGGUUGUAAAGGACUUUUGUCAGGGAGGAAAUCCCUAGUGCUAAUAACACUGGGGGAUGACAGUACCUGAAGAAUAAGCACCGGCUAACUACGUGCCAGCAGCCGCAGUAAGAC
rnacentral:rRNA from 1 species